AAGUCGUAACAAGGUUUCCGUAGGUGAACCUGCGGAAGGAUCAUUAACACUUUUCAUCCCUAAUAGAGGAGAUGUGAAGGAGGGUUUAGCAAUAAGCUUUUCUUCGCGUCUUUUCUUCCUAACCCCAUUGUGUGCACUUGUGAGAGCAAAACUAGAGGCUUAUGCGUUAAAAACAUAGCCUUUACGUUUUCUCUUUGUUUUUUCUUCCCUUUCUUUUUUUUUUCAACCCCUUUUUAAUGCGAUAGACUGAAUUAAACCUUUGAUCUCUUUGCCGCAUCUCGUAUGUGGUAGUUAGAUCUACGGUAGGUCGAAAGACCUCCAAAUGAGAAAUACAACUCUUAGCAACGGAUAUCUAGGCUCUC
rnacentral:misc_RNA from 1 species